GGAGAAAGGCUGUAGCUCAGUGGAAGAGCACUUGCUGUGCAAGCAGAAGGUCCCAGGUUCAAUCCCCAGCUUCUCCA